AUGCAAGUCGAGGGGCAGCACGAAUUAGCUUGCUAAUUUGGUGGCGACCGGCGCACGGGUGCGUAACGCGUAUGCAACCUACCUUAUACAGGGGUAUAGCCCGGAGAAAUUCGGAUUAAUCCCCCAUGGUACUGAUUGACCGCAUGGUUAAUCAGUUAAAGCUUCGGCGGUAUAAGAUGGGCAUGCGUCCUAUUAGCUAGAUGGUAAGGUAACGGCUUACCAUGGCUACGAUAGGUAGGGGGCCUGAGAGGGUGACCCCCCACACUGGUACUGAGACACGGACCAGACUCCUACGGGAGGCAGCAGUGAGGAAUAUUGGUCAAUGGGCGCAAGCCUGAACCAGCCAUGCCGCGUGCAGGAAGAAUGCCCUAUGGGUUGUAAACUGCUUUUAUUUGGGAAUAAACCUUUCUACGUGUAGAAAGCUGAAGGUACCAAAUGAAUAAGCACCGGCUAACUCCGUGCCAGCAGCCGCGGUAAUACGGAGGGUGCAAGCGUUAUCCGGAAUCAUUGGGUUUAAAGGGUCCGCAGGCGGAUUUAUAAGUCAGUGGUGAAAGCCUACAGCUUAACUGUAGAACUGCCAUUGAUACUGUAAGUCUUGAAUUCGGUCGAAGUGGGCGGAAUGUGUAGUGUAGCGGUGAAAUGCAUAGAUAUUACACAGAACACCGAUAGCGAAGGCAGCUCACUAGGCCUGGAUUGACGCUCAGGGACGAAAGCGUGGGGAUCAAACAGGAUUAGAUACCCUGGUAGUCCACGCUGUAAACGAUGAUUACUCGUUUUCGGCGAUAUACAGUCGGAGACUAAGCGAAAGUGAUAAGUAAUCCACCUGGGGAGUACGAUCGCAAGGUUGAAACUCAAAGGAAUUGACGGGGGCCCGCACAAGCGGUGGAGCAUGUGGUUUAAUUCGAUGAUACGCGAGGAACCUUACAGGGCUUAAAUGCAGUUGAAUGAUGUGGAAACAUGUC
rnacentral:rRNA from 1 species